UGUGUAGGCGGGGAUGCAAGUCAGAUGUGAAAUUAUUGGGCUCAACUCAAUAAGCGCAUUUGAAACUGUAUUUCUUGAGAGUCGGAGAGGUAAACGGAAUUCCCGGUGUAGCGGUGAAAUGCGUAGAUAUCGGGAGGAACAUCAGUGGCGAAGGCGGUUUACUGGACGACAACUGACGCUGAGACACGAAAGCGUGGGGAGCAAACAG
rnacentral:rRNA from 1 species